GACGAACGCUGGCGGCGUGCCUAAUACAUGCAAGUCGAACGCUUCUUUCCUCCCGAGUGCUUGCACUCAAUUGGAAAGAGGAGUGGCGGACGGGUGAGUAACACGUGGGUAACCUACCCAUCAGAGGGGGAUAACACUUGGAAACAGGUGCUAAUACCGCAUAACAGUUUAUGCCGCAUGGCAUAAGAGUGAAAGGCGCUUUCGGGUGUCGCUGAUGGAUGGACCCGCGGUGCAUUAGCUAGUUGGUGAGGUAACGGCUCACCAAGGCCACGAUGCAUAGCCGACCGGAGAGGGUGAUCGGCCACACUGGGACUGAGACACGGCCCAGACUCCUACGGGAGGCAGCAGUAGGGAAUCUUCGGCAAAGGACGAAAGUCUGACCGAGCAACGCCGCGUGAGUGAAGAAGGUGUUCGGAUCGUAAAACUCUGUUGUUAGAGAAGAACAAGGACGUUAGUAACUGAACGUCGCCUGACGGUAUCUAACCAGAAAGCCACGGCUAACUACGUG
rnacentral:rRNA from 1 species